GACGAACGCUGGCGGCGUGCCUAAUACAUGCAAGUCGAACGCAGUGGGGACGGGUGAGUAACACGUGGGUAACCUCCCAUCAGAGGGGAUAACACUUGGAAACAGGUGCUAAACCGAUACUGAUGGAUGGACCCGCGGUGCAUUAGCUAGUUGGGGAGGGAACGGCUCACCAAGGCCACGAUGCAUAGCGGCCCUGAGAGGGUGAGCGGACACACUGGAAGUAGGAAACGGCCCAGACUCCUAGGGGAGGCAGCAGUGGGGAAUCUGCGAAAAUGGGCGAAAGUCUGACGUAGCAAGGCCGCGUGUGGGAAGAAGUUUUUCGGAUCGUAAAGCUCUGUUGUUGAGGAAGCGGUAUCUAACGAAAAAGCCACGGCUAACUACGGGCCAGCAGCCGCGGUAAUAC
rnacentral:rRNA from 1 species